AUUGAACGCUGGCGGCAGGCCUAACACAUGCAAGUCGAGCGGAUGAAGGGAGCUUGCUCCUGGAUUCAGCGGCGGACGGGUGAGUAAUGCCUAGGAAUCUGCCUGGUAGUGGGGGAUAACGUCCGGAAACGGGCGCUAAUACCGCAUACGUCCUGAGGGAGAAAGUGGGGGAUCUUCGGACCUCACGCUACCAGAUGAGCCUAGGUCGGAUUAGCUAGUUGGUGGGGUAAAGGCCUACCAAGGCGACGAUCCGUAACUGGUCUGAGAGGAUGAUCAGUCACACUGGAACUGGGACACGGUCCAGACUCCUACGGGAGGCAGCAGUGGGGAAUAUUGGACAAUGGGCGAAAGCCUGAUCCAGCCAUGCCGCGUGUGUGAAGAAGGUCUUCGGAUUGUAAAGCACUUUAAGUUGGGAGGAAGGGCAGUAAGUUAAUACCUUGCUGUUUUGACGUUACCAACAGAAUAAGCACCGGCUAACUUCGUG
rnacentral:rRNA from 1 species